UAAAAAUGCGAGCCCUUGCCACGAAUCUGUAAAAAUCUUUCCACUGUGAUGGGAGACUAAAAUAGAAUAAUUCCAUGUCUUUUUGGAUGAAUGCCUAGCUGAAACUAUGCAGUGCUUGACUGACAGGAGGAUGUAGUCUUUGUGGAAAGUGAUUUCUUUUUCUUUUUAAGACACAGCAUAAGAAUUCUCAAGCAAGUGAAGGAAGAAUGGAUUAGCGUCCGUUUGCAUCUGAUUGCAGCUUUGACUCACCACUUGUUUUUGUGGAUUCCUUAUAACUUAUGCAGCAUAUCGCCAUUUAAACGAAUUUUGGUCUGUGGAUAAGCAAGCAAACAAGAUAAGAUAGGCAUGGCUUUUCUUGCUUUUCC
rnacentral:lncRNA from 1 species